CCAGAGGAAGAGCUUCUUGGCCUGGAUGCCGGAGAGGCCGGCGAUCCUGCCCUUGGAGAGGCAGCCGCGGAGGGUCCGGUCGUAGUAGACGAGGUGGUCGCCGAAGCGGACGUAGCAGGUGCCCGCGAGGUGGAUCUCGAAGUCGCCGGUCGCCUCGUCGAAGGUGUAGGAGCUGACCGAGUCCGGGAUCAGCCCCCUCGGGAGGCCGUACUUGGGGAGCAGGUCGUUCGCCGCGCCGUUCGCCGGCGCCGCGGCCGAGACGGCGACGGCGGCGGCGGCGAGGAGGAGGAGGAGGGGGGCUUGGGGAGACAUGGGCGCUGGGGUUUGGGAUUCUCUGCUCUGCUCUGGUUUGCGCGUGGGGAGUUCG
rnacentral:lncRNA from 1 species